CCUGGUGUUCAUGGCACUGUGGACCCACUCCGAUCCAUCUCGAACUCGGUUGUGAAACGCAGUAGCGGCGACGAUAGUUGGAGGGAAGCUUCCUGCAAAAAUAGCUCGAUGCCAGGA
rfam:Synechococcus sp. SynAce01, complete genome.